ACACCGGCUUUGCUUGCUCACACGCGAACAUGGCCUGAACAUCAUGGACAAAGCGGAUUUCACAAGGUUCUGGCAAAGCAUCAUACAACUGGUCUACAAGGAACACCCCACAUCAUAGGACAUAGGACAAGUAAAAGGCCAAAAUUGCCAUCCUACCCUGGCUAGAUGGUCCUUUUGGAAACGCCAGUGUGGAGCCUCGAAACCUAAUUUUUUUCUCGACUGACAAAAAAGUAGAGCAAGAAGCUCCAAACCAUCCCAUCCAGUUUCUACUCAUGGUCCUUUUAUCACAUGACUCCAGGCUCAGGCCACUCUUAUCUCUGACCCACGCUGCCAUGUCGAAUCACUUGAAGCUUCUUCUCCUCUGCAAGAUCAGACUGGAAUGUGAAAGCACUUUCCCCUCUGCCGCAGGGGAUAGGUCUCCAUGCCGGGGCUCUGACAAAAAGGAGAACAAGGGGAGAACAAGAGACGAGGCAGCGCGAGCGAGCUCCAGGUGGUGGGAGAUGCUCUUUUCACCUGCUGCUCUUUUGAAGUGCCGCUAACUGGGGAAUUGAACAGAAAGGGAAUCAUAUUUCACAAAACAAAGCUGAAAGUGGAAGCGAAAAUUAUUGAGAAAAAUACAUCAAGGGGUCAUAUAUAAAAACAAUGUUAAAUUCUGUGUGAAAUUGUUGUUGACUUCUUGAAUCUGAUUGGUCAAGAGGUGAUGAUUAGUUUUCUGUAAUAGCAGCUCUGACAAUAGUUCCAGCUGAAAGACAAAUCACAGAUUUAUCUUAAUGUGCUGCUUCAAAUAUGUUAUUGUUUCUGUACAAUGUAUGGCAAGAUGUACAAUUCACAUAAAUGAAUAAACAAAAUGUGCACUUGUUGAUAUGGUGAAGUUAACUGUGAAGAGAGUUUACUUACAUUUAUGGAAGGAGUCUCCAGUGUCAGUCUCCAGUGUGUCUAUAAUAAUAUACUGAUAUCAGAAAACAUACAGUAUGUACAUCUGCUAAUGUAAUGCUAAUGCUCAUUUAGAGAGAUGCUAUAUACUGUAUUUAGUAUCUGAUACAUAUUGUUUUGAAAAAUACUUUCUUAUCAUAAAUUUUGGCCAGUGAACCAUCUCAAAUAAGUGAAUCAUUACAGCGCUAAUUAUUUUGCAUCAUCUCAUAAAGUUCACAUUAAUUAAUCCAAAUGAAUGGAUUUGUGUUUUCAACCCAGUGUUUAGAGUGUAGCUCUCCAUCACUGGUUCCUAACCCAGGUAAUCAGUACUUUCUUUAGUUGGCACACCAAUUAAAAAAAUAUAAAAAUGUGGUUAACUAGCAUCCAUGCUAAUGGAGUGAGGACAUCAAAGACUUUUGAAAGUUAAAAUGGAUUACUUUCAAAAUCACCUUGUCAGUCAAUAUCACAAUACCACUGAAUAUAAAGGAGAAAGAAUGAGAAUGAGAAACAAAUGCAUUCUUUUUUCUUCUUCCCAUGUUCUUCAUGAAAUUCAUAUGAUGCAACUUCCUGUUGUGGAAUGAUCCAGAUAUUUCAUAUGGGGUGAUUGUGUUCAGGUUACAAGGUUGAGUGAAUGUGGAAGGACACUAAAUUAAAAUAUUUUUGAAGUAUUUUAAUGAUUGUUUUAGUGAUUAUAUUAGACAAGGUAAAGUAGUUAUUGUGGGCUGGGACAGGCAAAAUGCUAAGCUGUAGAGGUUUUAUUAAUGUUUUAAAUGAUUUUAUCUGAAAUAUGGGCGUAAGUUGUUGUGAAGGACACUUUACUUCUUUAAAACGUCUUUUACAUUUAUUUUUGUCAUGAAUCCCUUCCUGAAUCCUGUCAUGUCUCUUUGUUGAGAAGUCUCAUAGAGUUUUCCUGUGUGUUACUGACCCUUACUUUCCUUUUACAUAUUUCCUGUUUUCUGAAUUGUAUCUGCCUUUUCACUCAUGGAUUCUCGAUUAUGGAUCCCCCAGGUUUAAUGUUGGCUAGAUGUGUAUUGACUGAUGGAUCUUAUUAUAACCAUGAUAUUGUAUAAACUUAA